rnacentral:rRNA from 1 species
CCUACGGGAGGCAGCAGUAGGGAAUAUUGCUCAAUGGGGGAAACCCUGAAGCAGCAACGCCGCGUGGAGGAUGAAGGUUUUCGGAUUUUAAACUCCUUUUGUUAGAGAAGAUAAUGACGUUAUCUAACGAAUAAGCACCGGCUAACUCCGUUCCAGCAGCCGCGGUAAUACGGAGGGUGCAAGCGUUACUCGGAACCACUGGGCGUAAAGAGCGCGUAGGCGGGAUAGCAAGUCAGAUGUGAAAUCCUAUGGCUUAACCAUAGAACUGCAUUUGAAACUGUUAUUCUAGAGUAUGGGAGAGGUAGGUGGAAUUCUUGGUGUAGGGGUAAAAUCCGUAGAGAUCAAGAGGAAUACUCAUUGCGAAGGCGACCUGCUAGAACAUAACUGAAGCUGAUGCGCGAAAGCGUGGGGAGCAAACAGGAUUAGAUACCCGUGUAGUC